rnacentral:rRNA from 1 species
AGAGUUUGAUCAUGGCUCAGGAUGAACGCUAGCGGCAGGCUUAAUACAUGCAAGUCGAGGGGCAGCACAGGUAGCAAUACUGGGUGGCGACCGGCAAACGGGUGCGGAACACGUACGCAACCUUCCUUUAAGCGGGGAAUAGCCCAGGGAAACUUGGAUUAAUACCCCAUAAGAUUAUGGUGUGGCAUCACACAGUAAUUAAAGCUACGGCACUUAAAGAUGGGCGUGCGGCUGAUUAGGUAGUUGGCGGGGUAACGGCCCACCAAGCCUACGAUCAGUAACUGGUGUGAGAGCACGACCAGUCACACGGGCACUGAGACACGGGCCCGACUCCUACGGGAGGCAGCAGUAAGGAAUAUUGGUCAAUGGACGCAAGUCUGAACCAGCCAUGCCGCGUGGAGGAUGAAGGCCCUCUGGGUUGUAAACUUCUUUUAUCUGGGAAGAAACCCAUCUUUUCUAAGGUGGUUGACGGUACCAGUUGAAUAAGCACCGGCUAACUCCGUGCCAGCAGCCGCGGUAAUACGGAGGGUGCAAGCGUUAUCCGGAUUCACUGGGUUUAAAGGGUGCGUAGGUGGGCAGGUAAGUCAGUGGUGAAAUCUCCGGGCUUAACCCGGAAACUGCCGUUGAUACUAUCUGUCUUGAAUGUAGUGGAGGUGAGCGGAAUAUGUCAUGUGGCGGUGAAAUGCUUAGAUAUGACAUAGAACACCCAUUGCGAAGGCAGCUCGCUACACUAUUAUUGACACUGAGGCACGAAAGCGUGGGGAUCAAACAGGAUUAGAUACCCUAGUAGUCC